UAGUCCAUGCUGUAAACGAUGAUCACUCGAUGUUGGCGAUAUAUUGUCAGUGUCCAAGCGAAAGUAUUAAGUGAUCCACCUGGGGAGUACGUUCGCAAGAAUGAAACUCAAAGGAAUUGACGGGGGCUCACACAAGCGGUGGAGGAUGUGGCUUAAUUCGAGGCAACGCGAAGAACCUUAUCCUGGAUUUGACAUGCAUGGAUUAACUCUGUGAAAGCAGAGCCACACCUUCGGGUGGAACAUGCACAGGUGGUGCAUGGCUGUCGUCAGCUCGUGUCGUGAGAUGUUGGGUUAAGUCCCGCAACGAGCGCAACCCUUGUCUUUAGUUGCCAUCAUUUAGUUGGGCACUCUAGAGAAACUGCCGGUGACAAACCGGAGGAAGGUAAGGAUGACGUCAAGUCAGCAUGCCCCUUACGCUCUGGGCUACACACGUGCUACAAUGGUCGUGACAAAGNGUUGCUAGUCUGCGAAGGCAAG
rnacentral:rRNA from 1 species